rnacentral:misc_RNA from 1 species
GGGAAGCCAUCAAUUAAAAUCUGCAAUAAACAACAAAUACUUAGAAAAAUUCAAAUAGUAGGCAUCCACAGGCACUCUCCAAGAGGGAAGCCAUCAAUCAACAAUUAAAAUUAGAAUGACAGUAACAAAUUUUUUCUAAACAACUUUUUCUAACUUGAUUACACAAUUAUAAGCAUCAAGUCCUUCCAUCUGAGGCAUUAAUUGAAGUUGUUAAGGUCCAAUCAAAGGUCGAAAAAUUUUACCUGACCGUUAGUUGGUUCAUAAAGACGAAGCAAAAGAUUCACCAAUGUGCUUUUCCCACUGCCACUGAGACCAACCUGACAAUUAAAAUUAAAGCAAAGCUGAAAGUAAUUUCCAAUGAUCACUGUUGAAGCAAGAUAUUGUAUAAGAGAACUAACACACUUACAAUUGCAACCACUUGACCUGGAUGCACUGAAAGGUUUACAUGUUGCAGUACAGGUAUCGCUGCCCUUGAUGGAUAAUAAAAGGAUACAUUUACAAAUUCUAUCUGUCCCACCAGCCUCUGCAACUUCAAACCUUUUGAUAUGAAUUGGUCACUUGGCAAGAGAUCCAUCAAUUGGAAGACCUUCUCACUUGCCCCAACAGAUUGCAUAAGAGAAGAUAAAUUAUCCCCCACCCACCAUGUAGAAUAUAUCAGCCACUCACUAUAUAAUAUAAACUUUGUAAGUUUCUCAGCUGUAAUAUGACCACCCAGAAUAAACGUUCCUCCGACUAGCACAGCAAUGACCUGAGUAGAAUGAUAAAGUGUGUUGAAACUCAAAUUCCAAAAUCCAUAUGCUGCACUUUGUCGCAAACUUAUACCAGCUAAUUUCUCCAACCACAGUUUGUACCUUUCAAGUUCUAAAUUUUCUGUACCAUAAAUACGGACUGUUCUCAUCAAAGAAAAUGCCUCUUGUGCCACUUGAUUAGCAGAAGCAGUGAACUCUUGAGUUAACUUUGCGGCCUUCUUCUGGUACAUGCCAUAUAUCAGCAUUACAGCUGCUAAAGUUGAGCAUAUUAUCAAUGUACACAGACCAAGUGGCAAGGAAAGAAUUAACAAGUAGAUCAAGGCACCUGUACCCUGUACAGCAUUGCGUAGAAUCAAAUUAAGAUCAUUUCCAAUAACCCGAGACACUUGCUGACAAUCUGAUCCAAGCCUACUUGUCAAAUCACCAACUGUUUCAUUGUCAAAAAAAGAUAUAUCCUGAAGAAGAAGAGCAGAAUAUAGUGUUUCCCUCAUUCGCUUUACCUAUAAAUAUUACAGGAACACGUCAGCAUCGCAGUCAUCCUUCCAAAGGGGAAAUAUUGUUUCAAAUAACAUUCCCUUAUUUACCAUAUGUACAAAAUUGAGUCAACCUGAUUUUCUUUAACUCAGACAUGAUGUUUGUGUAAAGCAAGAUUGAAAAUAAUACAGACAAUGGCAGCAACCAGGAAGCAAAAAAUAGCAUAUGAUAAUUCUAUUAAUUGAAGAAGUAAUCAAUGAGAGAGCAACUCACAAGAAUCAUAUUUGCAAUGCCAAAAAAGCAACCUCGUAGACCACUGAAGUUCAUAUAAACAGAAAACGAGUUCAGUAGGGCAGUCAUAAAGUUCAUUAAGAAGGAUCACGUUCCAUACACAGAGUAUAGAAGGUCUCAUUGAGGCACAAGUUCAAUACAGUGAACAGAAAAUGAUAUGAUAUUGCAUAUAAAACUGAAUUGGUUCUACAUUUUCAGUAAGAUAACAAAUUAAUGGCACAUCAAUAAUAUGAAACAGUAAACAAUUUUUUAUUUAUGAAAAUGCAAACAAAAAAAAAAUCUCAUAUAAAAUGAUCGGAUUGUAAAUUUUGUUCACUUCCAAUCAGUCCUAUACAUGAGCAGGUGUAGAAAAAGGGUUGCGUGUUGUAGUUUACAGCUUAAAGAAGAAGGGACUUUCGACCAUACAAGAUUUUGACCUGCAUAUUCCUGCUAUAACACAUAGCAACACCAAGAGUCGCACGUUUUGAUGGAAUAAUGCAAUUUGAGUACUCUGGGCAGAAAAGAUCGACGCUGUCAGGAAAUGUGGUAUUGAGAUCUCCGAAACCGCUGCAACAAUUAGAGCAGAGAAAGCGGCGAAAAUAACCCAACGAUCAUGGGCAACCAAUUGCCACAUCCGACCAAGCGCCCGCCACAUGGUCACCGGUUUGGCCAAAAAUUUAAUCUCCACAUCCUCAGAGAAGCUCCACCAAUUUCCGCCAGGCAAAAUUGAUGGAAGAAACUCAAAAAAACUUCCUAAUUCUCCCAUGCAGCUCAAAAUUUUCUUCUCGCUGCUCUCCUUCAAACUGCUCUACAUGAUCCUUUUUAGCGAUGGAAAAUCCGUUAAUUGAAGAAGACUUCAGAGGACAGAAGCAACGUCGUCCACUGCUGAGGGAAAAUUCAGAGGGAGAGAAUCGGAGUUUAGUAUUGGCAGCUGGGCGGAUGCUGAGAGGUCGUUGAUUCUUGCAGUGAAGCGAAGAGAGUAAGCAACGCUGUGCUAAAGG